rnacentral:rRNA from 1 species
AGCCUAACACAUGCAAGUCGAACGGUAACAGGAAGCAGCUUGCCGCUUCGCUGACGAGUGGCGGACGGGUGAGUAAUGUCUGGGAAACUGCCUGAUGGAGGGGGAUAACUACUGGAAACGGUAGCUAAUACCGCAUAACGUCGCAAGACCAAAGAGGGGGACCUUCGGGCCUCUUGCCAUCGGAUGUGCCCAGAAGGGAUUAGCUAGUAGGUGGGGUAACGGCUCACCUAGGCGACGAUCCCUAGCUGGUCUGAGAGGAUGACCAGCCACACUGGAACUGAGACACGGUCCAGACUCCUACGGGAGGCAGCAGUGGGGAAUAUUGCACAAUGGGCGCAAGCCUGAUGCAGCCAUGCCGCGUGUAUGAAGAAGGCCUUCGGGUUGUAAAGUACUUUCAGCGGGGAGGAAGGCGAUAAGGUUAAUAACCUUGUCGAUUGACGUUACCCGCAGAAGAAGCACCGGCUAACUCCGUGCCAGCAGCCGCGGUAAUACGGAGGGUGCCAGCGUUAAUCGGGAAUUACUGGGGCGGUAAAAGCGCACGCCAGC